rnacentral:lncRNA from 1 species
ACGACGUGUCAGCCCCACCACGGCCCCAUAAAUGUAGCAUGAGUGCGAGCUUGAAAUUUGUAACAUGAGAUGAAAACUGGAGAAGCAUCCCUAAAAUAUAUGAACCAAUCUGCCUAGAAAUAGCUAGGAAUCUGCCACCAGAAAGAUGAAUAAAAUAAAAGAUUGAAGAAGUAGCAAGUAGCAGUAUGGAAGACUUGUGGCUAAGGAACCCCGCCUUUUUGUGUAACAGUUGGCCAUAAAGAAAUUAAGACCUUCAUUCCAGAGAGUCCUAUUGCAUGCCUGAGAGGGAGGAAGGCUGCACAGAGACGCCAAGAAGCUGGACAGUCCUUGCUGGGUUUCCCCACUCAGUCUUUAAGCAUUCGAUCAUACCCCUUCUGUCCAGUUGUAUUUUACAUGGCUGUCCAUACAUCAUUGAAUGUCAGUGUAAAAAUGGAUUGUUUUCCCUGUAUCUUUGGGUCUUUAUUCUGAAGUCUCUUUUAAAACUAUGAUCAAAUAAAUUUGUAUGCCUUUUCUCCUA